GAAACAACCCAGACCGCCAGCUAAGGUCCCCAAAUCUAUGCUAAGUGGAGAAGGAUGUGGGAAUGCCCAGACAACCAGGAGGUUGGCUUAGAAGCAGCCAUCCUUUAAAGAAAGCGUAAUAGCUCACUGGUCGAGUGGAUCUGCGCCGAAAAUGUAGCGGGGCUAAAGCAUAGUACCGAAGCUGCGGGAUAAGCUUGAUCUUCGGAUUAAGAAUAUCGGUAGGAGAGCGUUGUGCCGUCAUAGAAUCGUUUGCGCGAGCAAAUGUGGAGAUUGCACAAGUGACCAUGCUGACAUGAGUAGCGAUAAAGCGGGUGAGAGACCCGCUCGCCGUAAGCCCAAGGUUUCCUGAGUAAAGCUAAUCUGCUCAGGGUUAGUCGAUCCCUAAGGCGAGGCCGAAAGGCGUAGUCGAUGGAAAACAGAUUAAUAUUUCUGUACCACCUCGUUGUCGUUUGAGAGAAGGGGGGACGCAGAAGGGCAAGUCAUCCGUCUGUUGGAAUAGGCGGUUUAAGCUGGUAGGCUGAAAACCCAGGCAAAUCCGGGAUUUCUUAAGGCCGAGAAGCGAUGAGGAGGGAUUUAUCCCAUAAACUGACUGCACCCAUACUGCCGAGAAAAGCCUCUAUCGAGAUAACAGGUGAUCGUACCGUAAACCGACACAGGUAGGCAGGGAGAGUAUCCCGAGGCGCUUGAGAGAACCCUGGUUAAGGAACUCGGCAAAAUGAUACCGUAACUUCGGGAUAAGGUAUGCCUUUAAUUGUGAGUUGAUUUACUUAACAAAGCAAUUGAAGGCCGCAGAGAAAUGGCGGUAGCGACUGUUUACUAAAAACAUAGGACUUUGCAAAAUCGUAAGAUGAAGUAUAAGGUCUGACGCCUGCCCGGUGCCGGAAGGUUAAGGGGAUUUGUUAGCUGCUUGCAGCGAAGCUCUGAACUGAAGCCCCGGUAAACGGCGGCCGUAACUAUAACGGUCCUAAGGUAGCGAAAUUCCUUGUCGGGUAAGUUCCGACCUGCACGAAUGGCGUAACGACUUCCCCACUGUCUCGGCCAGAGACUCAGCGAAAUUGAAAUGUGCGUGAAGAUGCGCACUACCCGCGGCUAGACGGAAAGACCCCGUGAACCUUUACUAUAGCUUGGCAGUGAUCUUCGGUUGUGUUUGUGAAGGAUAGGUGGGAGGCUUUGAAGCUGGCGCGCUAGCGUCGGUGGAGCCACCCUUGGGAUACCACCCUGAUGCAUCUGGAGAUCUAACCUUGGCCCGUUAUCCGGGUCGGGAACACUGUCUGGUGGGUAGUUUGACUGGGGCGGUCGCCUCCAAAAGAGUAACGGAGGCUCGCGAUGGUUCCCUCAGGCUGAUUGGAAACCAGUCGUAGAGUGUAAACGCACAAGGGAGCUUGACUGCGACACCGACGGGUGGAGCAGGUGCGAAAGCAGGCGUUAGUGAUCCGGCGAUUCCGCAUGGAAGGGUCGUCGCUCAAAGGAUAAAAGGUACUCCGGGGAUAACAGGCUGAUCUCCCCUGAGAGUUCAUAUCGGCGGGGAGGUUUGGCACCUCGAUGUCGGCUCAUCGCAUCCUGGGGCUGGAGCAGGUCCCAAGGGUUUGGCUGUUCGCCAAUUAAAGCGGUACGCGAGCUGGGUUUAGAACGUCGUGAGACAGUUCGGUCCCUAUCUGCCGUGGGCGUAGGAGACUUGAAGAGAGCUGCCCCUAGUACGAGAGGACCGGGGUGGACAGAUCCCUAGUGUUCCGGUUGUCCUGCCAAGGGCAUCGCCGGGUAGCUAUAUCUGGACCGGAUAACCGCUGAAAGCAUCUAAGCGGGAAGCCGCCUCUAAGAUUAGGUCUCCCUGGACCUUCGGGUCCCUAAAGGGUCGUUGGAGACUACAACGUUGAUAGGCCAGAUGUGUAAUCGUAGCAAUACGUUUAGCUUACUGGUACUAAUUGCCCGUGAGGCUUGACC
rnacentral:rRNA from 1 species